rnacentral:rRNA from 1 species
AGUCGAACGGCAGCACGGACUUCGGUCUGGUGGCGAGUGGCGAACAGGUGAGUAAUGUAUCGGAACGUGCCUAGUAGCAGAGGAUAACUACGCGAAAGCGUAGCUAAUACCACAUACGCCCUUCGAAGGAAAGCAGGGGACCUUCCCGGGCCUCGCACUAUUAGAGCGGCCGAUAUCGGAUUAGCUAGUUGGUGGGGUAACGGCUCACCAAGGCGACGAUCCCGUAGCUGGUUUUGAAGGGACGACCUGUCACGCAGGACUGAGACACGGCCCAGACUCCUACAGGAGGCAGCAGUGAGGGAAUUUUGGACAAUGGGGAAACCUGAUCCAGCCAUCCCGACGUACGAUGAAGGCCUUCGGUUACAUAAAGCACUUUGGCAGGAAAGAAACAGCGGGAUAAUACCCCGAUAACUGACGUACCUAUGGGUGGCACUACGCAGCUAACUACGUUGGCAACCGCAGUGGCGUAAGUGCAAGCGUUAAUCGGAAUUACUGGAGGCGUAAAGUGUGCGCAGGCGGUUCCGGAAGAAAGAUGUGAAAUCCCCAGAGCUUAACUUUGGAACUGCAUUUUUAACUACCGAGCUAGGUGUCAGAGGGGAGUGGAAUUCCGCGUGUAGCAGUGAAAUGCGUAGAUAUGCGGAGGAACACCGAUGGCGAAACAGCCUCUGGAUAACACUGACGCUCAUGCACGAAGCGUGGGGAGCAAACGGGAUUAGAUACCCUGGUAGUCACUUCCUAAACGUCAACUAGCUGUUGGGGCCUUCAGGCCUUGGUAGCGCAGCUAACGCGUGAAGUUGACCGCCUGGGGUAGGUCGCAAGAUUAAAACUCAAAGGAAUUGUGACGGGGACCCGCACAAGCGGUGGAUGAUGUGGAUUAAUUCGAUGCAACGCGAAAAACCUUACCUACCCUUGACAUGUCUGGAAUCCCGAAAGAGAUUUAGGAGUGCUCGCAAGAGAACCGGAACACAGGUGCUGCAUGGCUGUCGUCAGCUCGUGUCGUGAGAUGUUGGGUUAAGUCCCGCAACGAGCGCAACCCUUGUCGUUAGUUGCUACGAAGGGCACUCUAAUGAGACUGCCGGUGACAAACCGGAGGAAGGUGAGGAUGACGUCGAGUCCUCUCUUGGCCCUUAUGGGUAGGGCUUCACACGUCAUACAAUGGUCGGGACGGGGUCGCCAACCCGCGAGGAAGACCAAUCCCAGAAACCCGAUCAUGAAGAUCGGAUCACGCAGUCUGCAACUCGACUGCGUGAAGUCAGAAUCGCUAGUAAUCGCGGAUCAGCAUGUCGCGGUGAAUACGUUCCCGGGUCUUGUACACACCGCCCGUCGCACCAUGGGAGUGGGUUUUACCAGAAGUAGUUAGCCUAACCGUAAGGAGGGCGAUUACCACGGUAGGAUUCAUGACUGGGGUGAAGUCGUAACAAGGUAG